rnacentral:SRP_RNA from 1 species
GCCGGGCAUGGUGGCGCGUGCCUGUAGUCCCAGCUACUCAGGAAGCUGAGGCAGGAGAAUUGCUUGUGCCCGGGAGGCGGAGGUUGCGGUGAGCCGAGAUCUCAAAAAAAAAAAAAAAAGGGAAUAUAUAUCUUUAUGUACUGAUAUGGAAAGAUAUCUAAGAUGUAUCAAAUUUUGCUUUUUUUUUUUUUUUUUUGAGAAGGAGUCUUGCUCUGUCACACAGAUGAGUGCAAUGGCGCGAUCUCAGCUCACCGCAACCUCCGCCUCCCGGGCACAAGCAAUUCUCCUGCCUCAG